AGGGAAUCUUCCACAAUGGACGAAAGUCUGAUGGAGCAAUGCCGCGUGAGCGAAGAAGGUUUUCGGAUCGUAAAGCUCUGUUGUGAGGGAAGAACAAGUACGGGAGUAACUGCCCGUACCUUGACGGUACCUCAUUAGAAAGCCACGGCUAACUACGUGCCAGCAGCCGCGGUAAUACGUAGGUGGCAAGCGUUGUCCGGAAUUAUUGGGCGUAAAGCGCGCGCAGGCGGCCUUUUAAGUCUGAUGUGAAAGCCCCCGGCUCAACCGGGGAAGGUCAUUGGAAACUGAGAGGCUUGAGUACAGAAGAGGAAAGCGGAAUUCCACGUGUAGCGGUGAAAUGCGUAGAGAUGUGGAGGAACACCAGUGGCGAAGGCGGCUUUCUGGUCUGUAACUGACGCUGAGGCGCGAAAGCGUGGGGAGCAAAC
rnacentral:rRNA from 1 species